rnacentral:rRNA from 1 species
AUGAAGGGCGGGAGGAAGAACCUGCGGCGCGCGUGCCGGGAGGGCACCGUCACGCUCGCGGAGGGCGAGAGCAUCAUGCAGGUCGUCACGCUGCGCGGCUCCAACCUCAUCGAGGUCACAGACGGCGAGGCAGUCAAGUCUCUCGCCCUGUUCCCCGCCAAGUUCCAGAAGAGCUUCUGGAUCAAGAAUGGCAAUUUCGUGGUCGUCGAUGCUAGUAGGAGGGACGAGGCUCUAGAAUCUGGAAGCAAGAUAGCCUGUGUCGUGUCACGAGUCCUCUUUCAUGACCAGGCUCGUGCGCUCGAGAAAUCUGGCGAAUGGCCAGCUAUCUUCAGGUCAACUCCCAAUGGGUGGGCGACAGGGCCUGAAGGAACGUCAUCACAGGCUGACGAAGAGCAGAACUCCGAAGAAGAAGAUGAUGAUAUUCCUCCACUCGAGGCGAACACAAACCGAAAUAGUCCAUUCGACGUGCAUUCCGAUACAGAAAGUGACUCUGAUUCUUAA